ACACACCCAACCUCUUGAUCCCUCUUUCUUAUCUUGAUACUUUUGCUUUUCUGAGAACACACACACACACCCAAUCUUUCAAUCCUUAUCCCUCAUUCCUCCCUGUGUUUGUUCUUCCCCCAUCUCUGCAACUCUCCUUCCUGGAGCAGACAGACGACACCCACACCCACACCCACACCCACACCCACACUCCACCGCGACCUCCACCGCAGUGUCUCACACCUUCUCGAAGACUCUCCUCUCCUCAGUCUCCUCACUCUUUCUCUCUCCCCUACAGUUUUUCUCUCUCCC
rnacentral:lncRNA from 1 species